CUCAUUCAUUUGUUUCUUCAUUACACAACAGUUAUCAUUUAUUUGAAAAAACUUUCAAUGAUUUUUUAUUGUUUGUCAAAAAUUAGGUCGGCUUCGCUUCCUUUGUAUCGGUUGAAUAAUUGUUUUACAAAAUAUAUCUUGCAACUCGGGCGCUGAUUGGUCGCUGAGGGGAUGCGCUGAGCGCUGAGAGGACCAGAGAGGACGCUCGCUGACGCCAUCUUGAUCAGGAGGAGCAGAGGAGGGGAGCCUCGGAGUGAGCUAUGGCAGCUGAUGGUCAGAGGUUCUGCCUGAAGUGGAAUGACUUCAGGAACAGUGUCACUGCUGUGUUUGAAGACUUGAGGCAGGAUGAAGAGCUGGUUGACAUUACGCUUUGCUGUGAGGGCAAGAAGGUGAAGGCCCACAGAAUGAUGCUUUCAGCAUGUAGUCCAUACUUCAGGGAGCUUCUCAAGGAAAAUCCUUGUCAACAUCCAGUCUUUUUUCUCAAGGACACAACCUAUGUUGAUCUCAAAGCUGUAGUAGAGUUUGUGUACAAUGGUGAAGUGAACGUCACACAAGGGCAGUUGAGCAGUUUUUUGAAGACUGCUGAAAUGCUGCAAGUUCGUGGCUUGACUGGUGAUGAUGAAAAGGAAUCACAAGCACCUGCACAGCCGCCCCCACCUGUGGCACGGCACCCGCCGAUGCAGCCGAUGUCGCAUCAUCCGCCUCCCAGGCACCGGCCGGGGCCGGUCGCCCCGCCCAUGGCGCCGCGCGUGCUGCCACCGACACCGAUGAAGAGGCCACUGGCCGCGCCGCAGCCGGCGCCCACGCCGCCCAAGCGCCCGCCGCCUCCUCCGCCGCCGCCGACCGACUCAGACGUGUACGUGGAGCCGGUGGUGGUGUCCGACUCGCCCGAGCCGCCGCCGCCGGCCUCCCCAGCGGCGGCGCGCGCGCGCCAACCGUCCGGCUCGAGCGGUGGCGGCCCGGCCACGCCGGCCGGCUCCGAGCCGUCCGGUGACGCCGUCCCGUCCCCUGCCGAGUCGGCCACCCAGCCGCCGCCGCCGCCCGCGCCGUCACAGCUGCCGCCGCUGCAGAUGCAGCCGGCGGUACAGCAGCAGCAGCAGCAGCAGAUGUCGGACACAGUGUCGCCGCUGCCGGCCGGCCCGGAAGGACGGGACCCGGCGGUGAAAGUGGAAAAAGUGGACAUUACGGACGAUGAUGUGAGCUUAGAGCAGGCGCUGGGUCAGGUGGUGAACUAUGAGGGCAGCUAUGACUCGGAACAUUCGAUGUCCGGGAUGAUGCACCAUGACCUGAGUCAAGGUGGCGGUGGCCUUCCCCUUCCGGGCACCUCUGACGCGUCGGCGGCCGGAGUCGCGGCAGGUACUCAGUUGGCGGCGCCGCAGGUCUGGUGCAACAUCUGCCACCGGGUGUUCAACUCCCAGUCGACUCUGCGCGGCCACCGGGCCGUGCACCGCGGCGAGACCACCUGUCCCGUCUGUCGGAAAAUGUUCAACACCAAGGGCCACAUGAAGCGGCACCUGCUGGCCUCGCACCCCGCCUCGCCGGCGGCCGCCGCUGUGUCGUCUUCGUCUGCCUACCCUGGAUCCAGCGGCCCUCCUCUGCUCUAGUGUUCUAUUUCUCCGGCACCGUCUACGACGCCGUUCAGCACUGCGGACUGCCCGACUGAGCUACAGAACCGUCUGAUGGUCUUUGGUUCUGCGAACAAUGCGGCAAGUCGUUCUCCCUUCGCAAGUCUCUGAUCAGGCACCAGGCCGUUCACCGGGGCGAGACUCGCUGCCUCAUCUGCGACAAGGUUUUCAGCACCAAAUUCAAC
rnacentral:misc_RNA from 1 species